rnacentral:rRNA from 1 species
GACGAACCGAGCGAACGUUGUUCGGAAUCACUGGGCUUAAAGGGCGCGUAGGCGGGCUGUCAAGUCUGGGGUGAAAUCCCACGGCUCAACCGUGGAACUGCCUUAGAUACUGACGGCCUCGAGGGAGAGAGGGGCGAGCGGAACUGUGAGUGGAGCGGUGAAAUGCGUUGAUAUUCACAGGAACACCAGUGGCGAAGGCGGCUCACUGGUCCGGUACUGACGCUGAGGUGCGAAAGCGUGGGGAGCAAACAGG